CUGGCGUGCAUGAGACAUGCAAGUCGAACGGGUGACUCGGAGCUUGCUCUGAGUCGCUAGUGGCGGACGGCUGAGUAACGCGUAGGUGACCUGCCCCGAAGUGGGGAAUAACUGCCCGAAAGGGUGGCUAAUACCGCAUGUGGUCGUUCAUUCAAUUGAUCGAUCAAAGCAGUAAUGCGCUUUGGGAGGGGCCUGCGUCCGAUUAGCUCGUUGGUGGGGUAAUGGCUCACCAAGGCGACGAUCGGUAGGUGGUCUGAGAGGACGAUCACCCAGACUGGGACUGAGACACGGUCCAGACUCCUACGGGAGGCAGCAGUCGGGAAUUUUGCUCAAUGGGCGCAAGCCUGAAGCAGCAACGCCGCGUGAGGGAUGAAGGCCUUCGGGUUGUAAACCUCUUUUCUCAGGGACGAUUAUGACGGUACCUGAGGAAUAAGCCACGGCUAACUACGUGCCAGCCGCCGCGGUAA
rnacentral:rRNA from 1 species